GUCCACGCCCUAAACGAUGUCAACUGGUUGUUGGGAGGGUUUCUUCUCAGUAACGAAGCUAACGCGUGAAGUAGACCGCCUGGGGAGUACGGUCGCAAGAUUAAAACUCAAAGGAAUUGACGGGGACCCGCACAAGCGGUGGAUGAUGUGGAUUAAUUCGAUGCAACGCGAAAAACCUUACCUACCCUUGACAUGGAUGGAACCCUGGAGAGAUUCGGGGGUGCUCGAAAGAGAACCAUUACACAGGUGCUGCAUGGCUGUCGU
rnacentral:rRNA from 1 species